CAGUAGCCGCGGGAAUACGUAGGUGGCAAGCGUUGUCCGGAAUUAUUGGGCGUAAAGGGCUCGUAGGCGGAUGGCACAGUCAGAUGUGAAAUUCCCGGGCUUAACCUGGGGGCUGCAUUUGAUACGUGUUGUCUAGAGUGAGGAAGAGGGUCGUGGAAUUCCCAGUGUAGAGGUGAAAUUCGUAGAUAUUGGGAAGAACACCGGUGGCGAAGGCGGCGACCUGGUCCUUUACUGACGCUGAGGCGCGAAAGCGUGGGGAGCAAACAGGAUUAGAUACCCCUGUAGUCCCUGUCUCUUAUAC
rnacentral:rRNA from 1 species